ensembl:lncRNA
AUUUCUUAGAACCUCCUAGGAGGGAGGCACUGAGUGGAGCACUGGGGUAAGCAAAGGUGCAGACAAAACAGGGGUUUGGGCAGAAGGCUGCAGGAUUGUGUAACUGCUACAGCAUUCUGGAAUGAAGGCAAGAACCUCAGAGACUUGCCAAACUUGGUUCUGCUCGGAAGAAAUUUUCCCCUGAGGGCUUAGAGAAGUCUCCCUCUCUCUGAAACAGCUUCUUCAAAGGUGGGCAAAAAGACACCAACACCCAUCCUAUAUCAGCCAACAUCCCAGUGACUGGUCCAUCGACACCAAGGACUUCAAAUUAUACCGAGUUCUGUGUAAAAUUAACACAACUCACAGUAGGCCCUCAAGGAAAACACUGAACAGGACAGAGAAGAAGCUUUUUCUCCCUGACACUGUCUUCUCUUUAGACACCUUCUGUUCCACCACUGACCCAUUCAUAUUUAGACUGAGUACAUGAAAACAGCUUUACCUCCAGAGUUGUGAAAUGAUAUAAAUUCUCACUCAAAAACAACAAAUAUAUAAGGAUAUUUUUUUAAUGUCUAAAGUUUAUUAAGAGGGACUUCCCGACACCGUACUUCCAAGGCAAGGGGCCCAGGUUCUAUCCCUGUUCGGGUAACUAGACCCCAAAGAUUCUGCAUUCCACAACAAAGGUCGAAGAUCCUGUGUGCUGCAAAUA